rnacentral:rRNA from 1 species
GACCAGACUCCUACGGGAGGCAGCAGUGGGGAAUAUUGCACAAUGGGGGAAACCCUGAUGCAGCGACGCCGCGUGAGUGAAGAAGUAUUUCGGUAUGUAAAGCUCUAUCAGCAGGGAAGAAAAUGACGGUACCUGACUAAGAAGCCCCGGCUAACUACGUGCCAGCAGCCGCGGUAAUACGUAGGGGGCAAGCGUUAUCCGGAUUUACUGGGUGUAAAGGGAGCGUAGACGGCAUGGCAAGUCAGAUGUGAAAGCCCGGGGCUCAACCCCGGGACUGCAUUUGAAACUGUCAGGCUGGAGUGCAGGAGAGGUAAGUGGAAUUCCUAGUGUAGCGGUGAAAUGCGUAGAUAUUAGGAGGAACACCAGUGGCGAAGGCGGCUUACUGGACUGUAACUGACGUUGAGGCUCGAAAGCGUGGGGAGCAAACAGGAUUAGAUACCCCUGUAAU